rnacentral:lncRNA from 1 species
GAAGAUCGGGGGAAGGACUUCUAUAUGGGGAGGCGGAGGAGAGGAGAGUGCAGGCGGAGGUGAGGAGGUUGGCGGUGGAGGGGAGAAGAUUGGUGGUGGUGGUGAGUGCACAGGUGGAGGUGGUGGUGAUGAGUGCAUAGGUGGAGGCGGUGGCGGAGGUGAGUGCACAGGUGGAGGCGGCGGCGGGGGUGAGUGCGUAGGUGGAGGUGGUGGUGAGUGCACAGGCGGAGGUGGUGGUGAGUGCACAGGUGGAGGUGGUGGUGGUGAGUGCGUGGGAGAAGGUGGUGGCGGUGAGUGCGCAGGUGGAGGUGGUGAGUGUACAGGUGGAGAUGGUGGUGGCGGUGGUGAUUGCGUGGGUGGUGGAGGUGAGUAGACAGGUGGCGGUGGAGGAGGUGAUGCCACCGGUGGCGGUGGUGAAUAGACUGGCGCAGGAGGAGGUGGGGAGUAGGUUACUGGAGAGGGUGGCGGCGGUGAGCGAGUCGAAGGAGGUGGUGACUUCACCACUGGCGGAGGUGGUGAUUGGACUGUAGGUGGCGGGGAGUAAACUGAUGGUGGCGGUGGUGGUGAGCUUAUUGGUUUCUGUGGUGGCGAGAAGUGUUCGGGAUAAACUGGCCCUCUAUCGCCUUUUGGUGGAGGGGGUAAGAACGUCAGUGGAGGUGGCGGUGGAGGUGAGCUUAUUGGUUUCGGUGGUGGUGAGAAGUGUUCGGGAUAAACCGGCCCUCUAUCGCCUUUUGGUGGAGGGGGUAGGAACGACAGUGGAGGUGGCGGUGGUGAAU